rnacentral:lncRNA from 7 species
AUGGCGGCAUGGCCUCGCGACAGCGACUCCCAAUUACCGCGUGCAAGUAGAUCCCUGUACUGUACCGCCCUCGCCCCUUGGUCCUUCCGCCCAUCCGCAUGCGUUGACGACUUGACAUUUGGCGUCGGGGUCUACGAGAUCGAGAUGCAUGUGUACCCACAAAGCUACCAUUUAGCUUUGCCCCCGCCUUCCUGGAUGUGUUCCUGGUCUAGACCAAGUUAAAUCAGUAGAGUUAGACCUCGGGGGAGAAGGGAACAACAGAGAUGGAGAGGUCGUCCUAAGGCACGACAUCAUACUAUAUAGUCUAGCG